GCCACUGCCACCCACUCUUGUUCUCGUCCUGCUGCCAGCCGAGCGUCACCAGGUCACCGGAGUGUCGCUCAGACGAGGCAGCUGUGGACUUCCAGGACGGCAGGGCUGUUCUAUAUUAAGAGGACUGAUUAUGAGGAAAUGUAAAAUGAGCCCAGCAUUAAUCAAGACCUGCUGCCAACACGGGUGACUCAGUUUCCAAUUCCACAUGUCAUCGUCCCAGAGAGAGAGCGCACGGCACCAAGGAUGUCCAACGCUGAGACACGAGUGCCGGCCUUUCCGUCUGAGCGUGAGUUCACGUCCUCCAUCCUGGAGUCCCACUUCGGUCAGCCUGCCCAGAUUGUCGCCAAGGAGGCCAUGCUGCGAGAAUGUUCGGUUUCUCCUCAUUAGUUUGUGCUGAGGGAAAGUGACAUGGGCUGGGUCACGUGGCCUGGGAGUGGUGUCAGUAGGACUUGGCCGUGGGUCUCCGCUUCUUAGACCUGCCUCCACCGCUCGGAGCUGGCACUGACAGCCUCGCGGUCUUUCCAUCCCUCCAUCUGUCAACGCCAUGAGCACAUUAGCUGAAACAUUUUAUUUCCUGAUAUGCAGUGGAGGGAGUGUCUGCAGGACCCCUUCCAAAAACAAUAUUUUCACUCUCCAGCAGCAAAAUACACAAUAUCCAUUCUUGUCAUUUUUGAAUCUCUGGCAACAACUCAACACAUUCUUAUUUAGAACAAUAUAACAAUCUGACUUCUGUCUGGGCUCUUAAAUUCUUUUGUCCCUUCCAGCAAAGUGUGAACUAUCCGUUUCCUGGCAGUAGGACAACAGCUCCUGACAAUAAUAAUAAACACGAGCCAGGGGCAGGUGGUGGCACAGGCAUCAGCACCCCAGCCCCUUGGAAAUCCUGUGUCUGAGUUACGAGGAAGAUUAGAAACAGGUAGCUGUCAACCACUGCUUAGUUACAAGGGGCAGGCAUCCUUUUCUGGUGGUGGUUUGCAAUCCAGGAUGGUGUGAUUUGAAAGGGUCUCCUUAACCAGCCCCCACAUAGCUCAUCUCGUCGUGUUUAUUAAGUCGCUUUGGUUUAAGUCACCUUUCCCUCCAGGCCUCUGUCUCCUUGCAUAUAAAAUGAGGGGACACAGAUAAAGAUAUAUGGACCAGCAGGUGGUGCAGAGGUUAAGGCGGCUGGGUCCCAGAUGGCU